GGGUGCCACCCGCUGAAGCACUCAAUGGGCCACUUCUGCAGGCUCAGCAUUCCCUCUGAGCCAGGGCACGGCAGCCCCCACUCCCCAAACCCACCCAUUCCUUAGUGCCCAGCGCCGAUUGGAGGAAAGGGAAAAAAACAAAACAAAACAAAGACUUGGCAAGGCCCCUGGCCUCAUUGCUUUUUGACGCUGAAUUACCCAGAAAACAGAUUGAAAUCGAAUUCUGUCUUUUCCCUGAAGGAGACAUGAGUAAAGGGAUCCCUCCUUGACCUCCUGGCCUUUCCAGUACCUUGUCUCUCGGUGAACACGAGAGUUAGCACCCGGCCCAGUCUGCUGCCGGAAGGCAAGAGGCAAGAGGCUGAGACUCGGCAGGCCUGAGCCUUACGUCCUGUCAAUUCGCCUUUUCCACCCCCCAUGGGAAAGCAGGAGCCUUUGGAACCCACAGGAGAAAGGUGACUCUCCUCAGGCGCCUCACCUGUGCCAGACGGGCCAGAGGGCCUGCCUGCAAGACUCACAAGCAUGUAGAGGAAAAACACAGACUGCCUAGACACGGAGCUAGCUCUUUUUGGGAAAGAACAGUGCCAUCUUCCAAGGGCUUCCAAAAGACUUCAUCGUGAAGCCAGAGUACAUCAUACGUCCAAGAUGGGACGAAAGUUAGAAUUCCACACUCUCAAGCAGUGCUUUCUGAAAGCUAAGACAGCACCCAGAGCUCUUUUUUAAAUAAAUGCUGAAGAAAGGACCCUUAAUUAAGCAUGCUGGAUACUGUGGAUGCAGUAAGCUUCGUGGCAACUUAAACCAGGAUGCAACCAAGAGCCUGCUUCUGUCGGGGAUUGUUCGAGGUGGGAGCAGAAAGGAUGCAGACGUAUUGUCUGUCACAGGCUUACUCCCUGGUGACAGAGUGGACACUAGAGAGACAUUGAGAGCUCUACCUGAGAGCUGAAGUUAUUCUGGAGGCGGAAGAAGAUGGUGUGUGACCAACGCCCUUAGGGUGUGCAUCGGGACUAAAUGCAGAGUGUGGCGUUUCAAUUACACGUUUUCUCCAGACAGGCAAGAAGAAAGAGGGCAUUGUAGGUAGAAGAGUGUAUGCAAAAGCAUGGGAAGACACAAAAGCGCGGUGUCUGUCCAGACGGAGGCUCUUCUGGAGGUUGGUGCAAACGAAGACUCAACUAAAUUGGCUGAUGGAGGCAAAAUGAAGGCAUCAAUAAUAAGACACUGAGGAGUCGGACCUGCCCCACAACACCAAGGAACAAACGGAGAAUUGCAAACAGAGGGAAGACGUGACUAGAUCUCUGUGAGGGUGGAGGCUACUCCCCCACAACCACACUCCUUCUCUCAAUAAAUCCUCUCACCCCCUCGCCAUUGUCAGCCACUUUCUUCAGCCAUAAAAUAAGGCAGCUUUCGGCUCACCUUCAGGCCUCACAUGACGAGCUCAGGGGCCUAGAGACUCUCCUCUUCACAAAGUAUCCAGUUUCGAGGGAUAGGAUAGUAGAUAGUUAUGCAAAGAGCUUUGCCCUCAGAGACUUCCAAUUCUGAAUUGGCAUCUGUUGCUAAUCAGCUGUGUUAUCCUGGGCAAACCACUUAACUCCUGUAAAUCUCAGGUGAAAUGGACAGAAAGGUCACUGCUUCCUCACUAAGGCUUCUAGCUGGGGCAAUGAAAGCACAGUGCUCUGUGAAGCACAUGGAAGUGUCCAGCAAUUCGGUGUGCUGGAUCUGACCAACCGGCUCCACUCCACCACUGAGCCAGCUCUCACCAGCAGGCAGAAAGGCUUGUUGCUUCGGGCCCCUCAAGAUAAACACCACUGGGUAUACUAAGCACAAAAGCACAUGAACCUGAAAGAGAAGGUGUGGCCAUUUCAGUAUUUUGGGAUCCGGUUCCUAACCCAAACUAUUUGUUAUUGUGACAGGCCCUUCUCAGGCCUUCAGAUCUGCUCAUUUGUUCUGUGUCGCAGAAACAGCAAGCAGCUGGGAAUGGUUGCAAGGUGAUCUACUUGUGGCUUUGGGGAGAUGGUUAAGGAGAGAGUAGAAUGCUUCAGAGACAGGAGUAAAGCAAUCAGUGGAUUACGUGCUUCCUUUAACUAAAUAGCAUACAUGUGUAGAUGGUCGCUAACAGCAAACUUGAUGCCUGCUUUCUUUCUCUCUGAAUUUUCUAAUCUGUGACUCUUGAGAUGAUCGUGAAUUAGCAGAGAUGUCCAACUGUUCCACGAGGCAGCUAAGGGAAAUUUUGUAAAUUUAGCAAGUCAUAUUACUUUUAAAGCAAUAGGACCUGUAGACCAGAAAUGAUAGAGAUCCAUGACAUUUUCAACUAAGUAGCCAUUAGGUAUUGGAGUUGUGAAGUGGUUCAACUCUUGCUUAAAGAUCUAGCUGAAACAGAUUUGAUUUUCAAAAUCUUAAAUUUAAAACUUGGCUUUACUCAAGGAAUUUUUAUUUUAAGACACUGGUAUCUUUUAACUAUAGUUUGUUUAUAGAUUUCCUGGGGAUCUUAAUUCAUAAUUUUUUAAUAUUUAAAAUAUUUUCGAAGAAAUGUGUAUGAAGAGUAAUUUUAAUUUGCUCUUUUACAUUGACUUUCAUUUACAUUUUAAUGAAAAUGUAGUCUGAUUCCUUAGAUCAGCAUUCUCUGAUGGCACUCUCUGCCACCCUGGAAACGCUGUGCAUUUGUGUUCAGACAAUGCAGAUGGUGAACUGGAGAUGAACACUUAUUUCAUGUCAGCCAACUGAGGCUCAGUGGCGGCCUAUUGCAGAGCACAGCUUUAGAUUAGUGAAAGUAGAGAGGUAGAGAUGUUGAGAGAAAUGCAGAAGCCUAAAUACAACUUUUCCCUAAAGAAAGAGGUGGGCGGGGAAAAGCACCAGGGGACUUUAUGGAGAAGGAAGUUUGAAGAGAAAAAGAAAUGGUUCAGUGAACUGGCCAGUUCCUUAAAAGAACUGAUGAGAUGAGCACAGUGCUUUGUGUGUAGAGAAGUCCAAGUGUGGCAGUGUGGACACAGUGACACUGGUGCUCCUUCGCUGACCACAGGCUGCGCUGUGAACUCAUUGUCGUGAGAUGGACGUGGACCUGCUAUACCUAUCCUACUGAAUUUUGCAGUUCCAAGACGCAGCACUACAGACUGUUCCUUGUUGACUCUUGGGAUAACAUGAAUGCAUGGGAGCUAGAGCCCGCGUGCUGGACCAUUGAAAAGAUGAAAAUCCACAAUCAGGAAUGUGACAACUCCUUGAUUGUGCUGCUGUUCAAACCGCAGCUUCCAUUUCAAUCGGAACAAGAGAUCGUUUAUUCUGGAGCCAUUUUAAGCGACAAUGGACGGAGCUUCCUGACUGUGAUGUACUGCAAAGAACUGGGCUGCCUUCUGGGGAAGUCAGCUGUCAUCAGAAGUAUGCAAAGUUGGCCAUCCCAACUUGAGAAGACAUCCUGUGUUGGCAUCCAGGGACCCAGCAGGCCUGACGCGGGGUUCAUGUCCGAGGAGUCACAGAGAGUGAGGCUGAGUAGAUGGUCUGGUCGGAGACCGAGAAUUCUAGAAUUCUAGAAUCCCAGAGGAACCCAAAACAUCUCCGCUGGAAGGAACUCUGCAACGAUGUGUUUAGAGAGGGGCUUCUUCACGCCCCCUCCCCCAGUCUUUUAUGUGCCUCUUCGAGUCUCACGAAGGCCAACCUUCCAAUGCCGCAGGCCUCUAAUUUGCUCAGACCUUUUGUCCCACACGCCGUGAUCCCUGAGGUUUGGAAGCUUAUUACAACUCAUUUCGGUAAAUCAGAAGGACCCUGGUUUCCUGAUGCUGAACUCAGCUGGUUGAACAUCAACCUCGGCAUAAAGCUACCAGGGAAAAAGGUCGAGGAAUGGGUAGCUGGUGGCGGUUGGGUGCCAAACUUGCGUCUGCCUCUUCAAAGCGUCAGCGCCAUGCCUCUGUCCAUCCCCAACCUCUACUUUCCGGCACUGAGCAAACAUCUGUAGUCCCAGGCUCUACAGAAGCUAAAGCCAGUGGAGUGCAUGAGCCAGGGAGUCAGGGAGCAGCCUGAUCCAUACAACGAGAUGCUGCCCGAGGAAACAACAUAAUAAAACAUUUCACCUUACACCUUGCGUUUGUUCAGUGAUCUGUCCAUGAUAACGCACAUCCCUGGCAUUUGUUUUGUCCAGAACACACUGUGAAGUACGGUGCCGUUCCCGGUUGGUAGAGACAUAAACUUCACGAGGACCACUGAAGCGUAAGUUGUAAACGACAGACUCUGCGACCUCGCUGCAGCUCCUGGCUUCUGCUUACCAUUCUGUGUUCCUUCUCCGGCACCUCCACCCACUCGGCCUCUGAGGCCUCUUCCAGCUCCAGCCGCUGGCAGACUGGAAGCUCCUCCAGGCAAGCGCCCUGCCCGCCGGUCCAGGAUAGUCCUCUGUUGUCUAGUACAGGGCCUGACGAGUCCCAGGAACUUAACACAUAGCUCUUCCCACUGUGCUGACAUGACUUACAUACUGCUGUGCUCUCCAGGGUUGAUGCUGAAAAGAUCACCUGCUGUUACCUAGACAAUUGCUGCCAGGAAGCUAGCAGACUGGACCCACUUCCAGGAUCAGAGCCUGUAUCCCCCGGUGGCAGAGCUCGGUGUCACAGCUAAGUUCUACACCACUGGAGACUGCAGGGGAAUGACAAGCUGAAGAGACACCCCCAACUCCAUUCCUGAUUGUCUUCUUCUUUCCUUAAGGACAACUCUAGAGCAUGCUGGAGAUGUGUUUCUUAUAAAUUCAUCCGGAAAAAAAAAAAAAAGUUUCUCUGGAUUCUUCUAGCCUGCUAGCCCUUCCUCCCUGCGGCUUUUGCUUUUGCGAGUUGGUAAGCGUUAACUCUCAGUUACAAAGUGUGCUGUUUAUUAGUGUGACAUACUAACCUGAUACCUUAUCCACCAAGACCUUCUCACAAGUCACACAGCAUCUUGCCAAGAAGACCAUUUCUACAGCGUGAAGAAGGAGAGGACCUGCUUCCCUGAACAUCAUGGUCAUUCCAUCUUGCCCUUCCAGUAUAACUCUGGUCUGUCCAUCCAACAAUGUAUGAAAACCAUGGGCUGUGAGGAGAGCUGGCACACUCACUCGUGCUCAGAAUCACUCCACGAUCUCUUUAACCCAUCCAUUUCCCACCCUACACCGUAUCCCUCCAGACUCACCAUUAGGGCCAGUGUUGACUACAGCAAUGUCAAGAAUUCCUGUGAGAGGUGCAGAGGCCCACUCAGCUCUUGAUAUGUUCCCUUCACUUGUGAAAAUGAAACUCAUCCUAUUGUCCCCAAACUCUUCCUGGGUUGUGAGCACCUGGCCCAGGCGCCGCCGUUCACCAGACCGUCUGGAAGCCCCUCUCCUCCACUUGACAUCUCAUCACCAUCUAAUCCCUAAGACGGGUUCAUCUUCCUUCUUUACCAUGAGUUUUAAAAGGUCCCACUAGAGGAUUAAGACUCAGCACUAAGCACGGUGGGGCCUUGCCUUUCCUGUCAGAACUCAUAGAUAAUUGUGUCACCUGUGCCCCAGUCAGUGAGCUUUUUUUUUUUUUUUUAACCUCAGCAUCUCUUUUUGAUAAAUGUGAUUAUCUGAGGCUUAUAUAAGACCGGUGUCAGAGUCAGGAGAGACAAUGUCUGUGAGUCAUAGCACAACAUACAGGGUUAUAAUGGCACCCUAAUGUUUGCGGAGUGAUUUCUAGAAGGUAAUUGUUGAAUCAUCUCAGAGAAGGGUUUGCAUCACAGCUUAGCCAGGAGAGUUACUCUUCAGAAGUAUUUGCCAGGUCCUAUUGUCUAAGGUUCAGCAACAAGGAGCCGUUGACCCUACCUGCUAAAGGGAGAACACCCCUGGGCAUGUGUGAUACAGGACUGGAAAAUCCCAAGAAGGAAUCUUGUUUAUCUGGAAAUGGUCUCUUGCUGUGGGUGGUCUGGACACCAAACGACAUUUAAGUAUGAAUCAGACUCUCAACAAUGGUGCAAGGACCACAAGACGAGGCAGGUCCUUCUGGGGCAGGAGCACUCACAGUGCCUUAAAAUAUCUGGUAGGGGUUGCCUGUUUCAAAGAAGGAACAAGUGUAUUUCAGGUAGGACUGUAGGUAUGUGUGUGCGGUGUGUGUGUGUGUGUGUGUGUGUGUGUGUGUGUUUGACCAGGUGCUACUGGUCUAUCUUUGGCCCAAGCAGGUUUUGCAGCCAAGUUCACCAUGCUUCUGAGCAAAAGGUAAAAGUAGAGAAAAUGCCAACCUGGCUAUGUUUCGCCUCUGUCAGACUAGGCCUCUGCUACACAGCCUUAUGUUUCAGGGUGUCACUUAUCUUUCCACAAAGCCGUAUCUGUUUCCCAGGAGUCUGUGUGGGCCACGAAAGUGUUCAGGAGGAAAAUGCUCACUGAAUUGGAAGAUUCACCCUUUGUCUCAGGAAUCACUGUGACUCGGUUUCCACAAUCCAGGAUUCGAUUCGUGUCUACCUUUAGUACCACCUGCAGUGCCUGCUGUUUGAAAGGUUUGCUUCUGCUGCCCCAUGGAGAGAUUCCCUGAGAACUCAGAGCCCAGAAGCCAAGACUCCAGAGCACUAUAAAUGAGGAGGAUACUGAAAUCUAAAGACAAGUGGAGACAAGAUUUCUCUGUGUAGCCCAGGCUGUCCUGGAACUUUUUCUGUAGACCAGAAUGGCCUCAUACUCAGACAUCUGCCUGCCUCUGCCUCCUGAGUGCUGGGAUUAAAGGUAUGCACCACCAAGCCUGGUUGAAGACCAGUCUUGAAAAGCCGUGAUUAGAAUUUGCAGGGAUGUAGGGAAUAGCAGGCUUCACCUAGUGACAUAAACCAAGGGAAAGAACGUGAGAGCUGGGGGAGUUUUUCCACUUCCUCCUAUGCCUAGUUUGGCCCUGAGGACAAGCCUCUACUCGCCACGGAGCCUCCUUGUGCUAUUUAAAGCACAUCCUCUAGGUCCUAGGCACUGCAUUCCUUUCUUCCCAUGUCUCUCUCUGCCGUUUCCUUUACAGUGUCAUGUAGCCAAGCUGUGGCUCCUGCCCACCUUCCCAACAUUAGCCUCUCUGCCCGAAACAGCCCCCAAUCAGGAAAACUUCCACCCGGGCCAUUCAGAGUUGCCAUCUCCUUCAGAGACCCAACUCACCUAUAAAGUAUGUGUUUGUGGGCAUAUUGGCAUGAUAGCAUGCUCAUAAUCUAUCAUAGCGGCUUACAAAAGCAGCAUGUACAGCGUGCGCGUGUAUUUUCAGAGACAAGAUAUGCAAGGAUUAUCACCUCUGUACACUGCAAGUCAAUACAAGCCAUUCACAUAUCUUCCAGCUUGUCAUUUCCUUUUGGACUAUUAUAGCAAAACUACAACAAUAAAGACUCUAGGGCUUAAAAAACAAACUUUAAAUUUCUAUAAAAAAUUAAAUAUUGACAAAAAUUGUCAUCUGGAAUCAAUAACAGAUGGUAUUUUGUUUUCAGUGACAUUCAAGCAUAUGUAUGGUACAUUGAUAUGUAGUCAGAGCUAAGAACAUCAUGUUAUCUAACCUGUCAAUUCCAAUCAAGUUGAAAACAAUUCAAAUGCUUAAAAGCAGAAGCCUGGGUCAUCAAGCUUCAGGCUAUCAACACCCUGAAUGAAGAACCCUCCAACCCCAGACUGCUGCUGUGUGCUGUAGUGGAAGUUUUGGUGUCUUUGAAAACUCAGCUAUGUUAUGAAACGAACAAACAAAAACAAACAAACGUGUUUUUGUUUUAAUCCCAGGUGUGGAAUUCGGAUUGUCCAGGGCAGCAAACUAUUUGCCUCAUGCAUGCCCUGAGAGGGGCUCUUUGCCAGCUGCACAUAGUUUAUUUCUGAGGACUCUGUGAGGGAGUAAAUGCCAGGACCAGAGAGAGAAAAGGGGCUCGGAGAAAUAAGAAGGUACUGCUGCCGUUCCCCCCUGCUGCUCCUGUUUGCUGCUGCAGCAGUUUCAUGAGAAGUUGGAGAUCUCCUGAAAAGAAGAUUGGACUUGCCCCAUGGAACCCAAGAACCCUACUCAGCAGGAAGUAGCAAGGAGAACUCUUCCCCUUUCCCCCACUAAGCUUCUUUUUCUCCUACCUGGUGUUGGGAGGGAUUGGGGUAGAGAAGGGAAAAAGAGGCGUAAGAAACCACAAUAAAAUAAAAUAGAUUUUAAAAGUACGCUAACAGGAAAGACUCAAAAAGAACUGGGAAAUCAAAACCUCAAAUCAUCCUAAAUCCCCUGGUUCCUCUUCCCUUUAGGUUAAAUUAGCUUUCUUGUGAGGUCCCUUGGGAAAGGGCAAGAGCUUUUAGGGAAGCUAGCUCUCAGGUGUGGGAAGAAUGAAAAGAGUGUAUGAGCUUAGACUAACAGCCUAGAAAGGUUAGGGCAGGCAGCAGGCUGGGAAGUAACACUUUGUUGCCAGUAGAGCCUCAAACUGGAGCCUUGGUGAUUUUCUAUAGCAGCCAGAAGAGGAAAUGUGUGAAGUCCUGGCUCGAGCAGCAGCUCAAUCCCCAGGAUGAGGACACUGAGUUCAGGAAGGCAGGGUCUCUCUCAGAGCCUCCUGUCUCAGCCUGCUGCUGCUGCUGCCCGGAGAAAGGCUCUCCUGAGUGCCUCUUCUAGAACUGGAGGAUCUAUUUUCACAGAGCCCAUUUCCUCAUCUGUGAAUAAAAGGUUGGACUAGAUAUAUUCAAUUCCACUCCAAGUCUGGCCAUGGAUACAGGCUCAUGAAUUCAAAUUUUAUCCUACUUUCCUUUCUCAUGGUUUGGCUUCUGUGGGACGUUUGCAUAAUACUAAUUAUGAAGCAGUUAGGGCUGGGGAGAUAAUUCCGCGGGUAAAGUGCAGCAGAAAAAAAAAGCAGCACCUGACUUUGGAUCCACAGCAUCCAAGUUGAAGCUGGGCAUAGUGGUGCAUGUCUGUAAUUCCAGGACUGGCAAGGCAGACAGGCAGAUCCCUGAAGCACUUGGGACAGCCAGCCUAGCUGCAUAAAUGAGUUCCAGACAGUUCCUGUCUCAAAAUCAAGGCAGAGAAGUGAAGAGGAAGACACAUGAUGCUGACCCUGUCCUUCCCAUGGGUGUCUACCCCCCCCACCCCCACACACACAGGAACACAUAUAUACACCAGACACACUGAUGAUAAUGACGAUGGUGAUGAUGGUGAUGGUCGUGGUCGUGGUCAUGAUGUGCUAAAUGUAGAGUGUAUUCUCCUCUUCUGUGUGGUGAGAUUACUUCAAGUUGCACAAAGCUUCUACCUGUCUACCCUCACAGCAAGUAUGUGACCUUGCUGUUAUAGCCCCUACUUUGACUCUUCAUUGUCUUUCAUAUAUUUAUUGUUUCUACUCGCCUUUUGUUUCUUUCUUUAUUCUCUAUGUAGAAAGUAUAUUUUUUGUUUUAUCAUAUAAGUUAAAUCCCUUAAAAUGUAGAAAGUAUACAUACAUACAUAUAUAUCUCAUGUAAGUUUUAUCAUGUAAGUUAAAUCCCUUAAAUUUCAUGCAGCCCUUAUACCUAGGGGAACAGAGCAAGCCAACUGCUUUCUGGCAAUAACAUGGAACCCUCUUCUGCCUCAGGUAUUCAAUGAUCCUUUCCUUUCUCAAUUACCCUAAACUUGAAUUUCCAUUUUAGUUUGAAGCUAGUUGUCAACUACAUUAAAAACUAAACAAUCCCAGUCUGUGUUUACUCCGUAUGAAUGGACAGUACAUUUUGUUCAUGUAGAAAGCGAAGUGUUCAUGUAUAAAUUGCCUACUUAGCACCUACGUAGGAAUCCCUCCACCUAUCUAGGCUCAGGUCUCCACUGGUGUAGACUCAGAGUUCCACACAAGAUGGGGGGGCAUUGCUAGGGUGGGAGAAAAGCAAGCUCAUCAAAGGGUGUGUCUUGUUUCUAUUUUUGGCUUCCACAGAGUAUACUGGCAGCUCCCUUGUGCACUAACAAGGUUUGACUAGGAAUCAACUUCGAUUCUGAAAAUAAUGGCACCAAAGGUACAUACAGUGGCAUCUUAGGCCCUAGAGCUUUUGUUUUCAUCAAGCUCCUUAACCUUGACAUCCUAGAAGUCAUUUUCUCCUCAAGACAAGUAGACAGCACCCAUUCAUCUGCGCGAGAGGCUUGUCCUUUGAAGAGCUGCCUGACAGAGAUGUGUGUGACCCGUGGGGUCAGGGUCCUGAGUGAUGGAUUCUCUCUCUCUGGUUGUGAGAGCAUUGGCCAAUAACUAACUUUUCCUGGUUUCUGGUUGCUUUGUUUAUAAAAGGGGAAAUGUAAUAACAGUUAUUGCUUUAUUGUGUGGUUGUAAGGAUUAAACAAUGCUCAGAGCAGUGUUGGGCCCAAAAACAAGCACACAGUGAGGGUGUUGUCAGUCAGCUAACCUCAUGAAGGUGGGGGAGACUGUCAAUCAUGGGAAAAAGCAUGAUGUGUUAUACACUGAAAUAGACUUAGGUGAGAGGGAAGUGAUUAAUUCUUACAUAUUGCAGAUGACUUGAGGACAGUUAAGUUUCUAUCAAGGAAACAAAACAUGAACUAUAAGAGAGGCUUGUUAUUGAGUCCUGAUCCACACAGUUGUAGGUUCUCACUAAUUAGUUAAUGUCAGGCUGACUUUGCUGUAUGCUUCAACUUGAAUCAGAAGCACAGACAGCUGGGGAAUGAAAAGGAGAAUGGAGUAGAACAGGAGAAAACAAAGACAGCCUGAACCCCACCAGGACACCCUGCCUCUGCUGCUCUGGGAUUCAAAGCUUCUGCUAGAGGAGCGCUUGUAGGAAUUGGAGAAACUAUAAAGUGUCAGCUGAUGCCACUCCCUAACCACAUAAGCCAGCCAACCAGAGACAGCAUAUGACACCAUAACACAUGGUGUCUUGCACCAGCCACCUUCUAUGUAAUACAGUAGCUUCACUUCUGUAUUACAAAUAGCAUUCAAAACAUCUCCUAAUGGCCCAUAUCAAUAGGUAACUGCAGUAGAAAGGGGUUCUGGGAAAUGUAGUUUGUUUGCCUGUAUUGCUCCAGUAAGACCCACCAUACUUUCCAGAGAGGAAGCAGUGCAAUUAAGUUUGAAGGUGUAAUGGGUAUUGCGGACCCAGGGAAAGUAACACACAGGCAACGAAAAGGUCUGGUGUAUUCAAGAUCAUAGCGGCUGCACUGUGGGAGUCUUUCCCUCCCUGAUAGGCCACAGAAUCAGUCCAACAGCGGAUUGAUCUCCUCAGCAGACCCUAAUGCUUUCAUUAAACAAAGACCAACUUCUUAACGUCUUCUGGUCUAAUUAGCGUCUCUUUCCUUCUAUCAAGGCAAUGAGAGAACACCAUGUUAGGAGUUCUGAUCCCAGAGACCUGGGAUUUAGUACCCAGCCUUCACCCUCGCCCUAUGGGUGACAAUCAUCCAAUCUCUGAACUUCAUGCCCUCCUCCCUAGAAGAGGGCAACCGAACUGAUGCAAAAGCUAAAUCUCUAGCGCUUUAAUGGUCUCCUGUUUCCUGGCAGUUACAGGAUGACAGAGUGGGCACCGUGGCUUUGACUCUGGAAAAAAGCAAACAGAAAAUGCCACAAACAGAAAAUACCACAUGACUUGACUUUUAACACCAGCCUUUGGAAGCAGUACAGGGCAAUGCAGUCUACUCCUUGAAGUUCAGUGGGUUAGUUGUUCAAGGCCAGUUCAAGGAUAAGUCAUCUGGGUCUAGCCCUGUGGCAAGCUGGAAGCACCUGAGACUGUCAGGAAAUAGAUGAGCAAACUUGUAGGAUCUAGUCCCAUAGGCUGUGGAUACCUGGAUGGACAACUCAGAGAGCAAUACAGACUCCAGAAGUGAAUUCUUCAGUGCAUUUUCAUAUUGAACUGUGUUUCUAGAAGGAUUGCAGGACUGAUUACUGGAACGGACUAGCUGUAAGCUUAGGGCUUGUAGGAACUGAUAUGAAUUGAUAGAAAGUCCAAGGUGGCAGCCACCUCCACCCACUUUCCAGCUACUGUACAGGGAAAGUCCUUUUUGACUGGAGUCGUUCUAGAUAAGGAAGUGGAUCCCUGAUGAAAUACUGGGCAGAAUAUUUGGAGUAUUUGAGUCUUCCCCUUCUUUGGCCUGUUUCACAAAUGUUUACAUGUUGCAGUCCCUGGAUGCUAAGCUAUUGUCCUCAGCACCGCUUGAUAAAAUGUCAACACAUUCACAUUUUUUUUCCCAACAAAUAUAUGGUUGCAUUGAUGGCUGUUACUUAGAGUUGUGAGGAAAUGUGAGCUUUGGAGUCAGAAAAGCCGAUUUCGAACUUAACCUUUAUUACUUAACACUUUUACAUAAACUUGGAAGAUUAUUUCUUCUGUAAAAGGAACAUGAUAACAUUGAUUGCUCACAGUGUCUAUUUAU